CUUGCGGCCAUUUUGUUUUCAUUUGAGAGCUUGUUUAAGUGAAGAAUACUGAUGUCUUUGGACUGUUUAACCUGUAUGGUAACGCACACACGACCAAACUUUUAUAAUCAGUCGCUAAUUUCUAGCCAUUGGCAGACGUACUCCGCCGAUUAAUAGUAUUUGCUAGUGGAUUGUUGCAUAUGACUGAUAGAUAAAUAUUUAAGGAUCUUUCCGUUCUUUUGUUGAUCGAUUGUUAUACAGUUGUUGUUCGAAGUUAUUCAGUCACUUUAGGAAGGAGAUUCUUCGUGAUAUUGUUGUGUUAAAGCAAGUCUUGGCGGGCUCAACAAUCUGGAACUCACUUGUUAUGUUUUCUCGAAGGAUUAUAUAUCGCGGGUUUAAGGAUAAAACCAAUUAUUUAUUCAAAAUCCGCGUUCGAUUUUGAUAGUGCCGUGUGAUUUUUGUCGAAUUUCAAGAGAUGUUAUUUUUUUCAGAUUUUGACAAAAGUGGGAAGGGUAUAGCCUUCCCAUUUUUCAUUUUUGGCCAAAAUUUUAAUUUUUAUUAAAAUACUUGAUUUUGAUUCAAAAUCGAAUAAAAAUCACGAAAAUCAAGUUUAUUAUUCCAGUGGUCCUAUAGUUUUUGAGCUAAACGUAAAAAAAAAACUAAACAAAAUAUAAUUGAACAGCGUAUGUUUUUGUAUAUUUAAAAAACUGCUUGUUUAACGAAGAAACCAGCAACUUAUUCGAAAUCAGCGUUCAACUUUGAUUCCACAGUGGGAUUUUUGUCGUAUGUCGAUUGGCAAAACAAAAAAAUGGAUAGGAGACUGCUUUCGCAAUUUGGUCAAAAUCUGAAGAAAAGAAAAGAAAGACAUUUGUUGACAUUCGGCAAUGGCAAUGGCAAUACCGAAAUCGAACGCUGAUUUCGAUUAAGUUAUAGGUUUUCCCAUUAAACGAGCGAUUUUACCUUUCAAAUUAACUGGUACAGCACAAUCACCACUCCAGCGCCAUCUAGUAUCCGCGGAGCAAUUUUGGCACUGGUACCGUGGUACGGUGUACGCGUGUACCGCACCAGAGCUCCGUGGACUCCAGUAUUAGGAAGACAGUGCAGGUGAAUCAUCAAACUCUUGUGGCAAUUUUGACAACAACACCAGUCAGGUCAAGUUGGCAUAGCUCGAUUAGGACCUGCAGCCGGAAAUAGCAAUCGCCUUCGCCUGGAGACUCCCGAUCAGCGCCUUCCAGCCCAAAUGAAGUGGCGUGCCGUCAAAUUUUCCCAGAAAGACAUUGAAGAGAUUUUGCUUCACCUUUAAAUGAAGAUAACAGUUCAGAAUUUGAUGGAUGUUUGUUGGAACUGGCGGAGAGUUCAAUUGACUUAACCAGCAAGACCCCAGAUUUUCUGUAAGAUCGAGAAAGAAGUUAACCGAGAAAUAAAAGGCAUCUAGACAAACGGAAAAUGUCAUCAUAAAAUUUUUUCCUUGAUGCAUCAAAUGCCUUUCAACUAACAAAAUGGAUGCAAACAAACCACGAAAAAAGAAGUUGUUUCAACAGGCACACACAUUUAAUUAUUCUUGUUUUGUCUUUUGCAUUAGAGUCAGAGUUCCAAGGCAGUUCUGUUGGCUUAAAAGGUUCAGCUGGAAGCGAACGUGUCGCGUCGGGAGUCAUUGGAACUCAAAAAUAUAAUAAAACCAGGGAGAGACUAAUGUGAUUCAACUGUAUUGAGCAUCACAACGAGAAAACGAGCGUCUAAAUUCCCCUGCAAUACGUGCGACCUUAUCCAGAAGGCGACAGCAGGAUCGCGCAAUUCGUCAAGGAUAAUGCCAACCUCCUGUGCGGAUUUACGUAAAAAUCGGAUCCGGUGUUUGGAAUGGGAUUGGUUGCCUUGCCUCGACCAAAGAAGGUUUCAGUCGCCAGUUUUGGUUGCAUCGCAUUGACUGAUGCAUUGCUGAUGCUUCGGGACCAUUAACGUCAGCCUCUGUGGCCUAAUGGAUAAGGCACCGGCCUCCUAAGCCGGGGAUUGCGAGUUCGAGUCUCGCCAGAGGUACGGAUUGUAAUGCUAGCGAGCUGACAACCAAUACAUUUUCCUGAUUGAACAUCUUUUGGAAGCUGGUAAAGUGCUGGCUGGACCAGGUUUUGCACCCAAGCAGAACUUGUUGUGUGUCUUUCUUGAUGAGCUGGAGAGAACUCUGUUUUCCUACUUGAACACCUUUUGGAGGUUCGUAGGUGCUGAGCGGGACGAGCGAAGCUGGAAACGGUUUGCUAACAAAGUCCUUCAGUGUUUUCUUAACGCCUGGAAGUGGUUUCACCUCGGCCGUCCGGUUUACUCGUGUGGUUGUAUGGAACGGGACGGAAGCCGAUGCUGCGGAAGACGGUACCACAUUUCUGCAGACGGGGACGGACUUCUUCACAGGAAUUUUAGGCUCCAGUUCCAAAAUCGGCCAUGUCAGAUACUCAGAAACAGCGGAGGAAUCGUGGCGAAUACGUUGAUCGGACAAAUGAACAACCGCCCGCCUUAACCAAAAUCUGGUGCUCGUUGAAAGACUGGCAGACACGUUUGGGACGGCGACUUUAGCGAUAAUCAUCGAAGAUGUUCUGGAAAGUGACGUCGCCCUCUCGACAAAUAAAAAGGAACAAUCGUUGGUGCAGAAGCCAGAAGCAAGUCAAUCAAUUAGCGACCGUGUGCAACUUCAUACCAACAUAUUUGGAUGGCGUUGUGGACGGAUGCCAUGUAUUGCAAAAUUGCAACUGACAGAAAACAGUGGCAUUUGUGACGUGAUAUACAUAUACCAAUGUGAUAGUGACUGCCAGGUGACUUCUGGCAGGAAUGGCACGUGAAAGUAGCCAGCACUUUUGAUCGUCCAUCAUCGCCAGUUAGGAGACGUGGAAACAUAGACUGCAAGUACUUAAAUUCUUUAUUGUUCGUUCUCAAAAUACGCGAAUGUGCUGUGGCAGCAUCUUGAUUCGUUCGAUCUCGAGUCAUAAACGUAACUAUUGGCAACUCUGCAUCCUUAGUUGAGAUUUCUAGCUUCUGCAAUGAGUAGCCAAAAUUGCAGUUAUGCUAAAUUUUAGAUAGGCCUUAGAAUUGUGCAAAAAUAAAAUGUGGAAUGUUUGUGAAAAGCCAAUGGGAUAUCAUUCGUGAUCAGCUGAUUUCCGUGUGUGCAUAUUAAACAGUAAGUCUCAUUUCUGAAAAAAAAUUUGAUGUUUCAAUGUCUAUCAGUAGCCGUUUGUGAAAACCUUGAAUCGACGAACAAUUUCGAACUUUGAAAUUUUUACAACUACACGCUUGCCUUUAUUGUAAGUAAACAAUAUUUUGGUUAUUAGAGAAAUAUUGGCUUUAGCGUUUGCUUUUCACUAGCUGUGGUGGCCCUGGAAAGGGGCCAUUUUGUCUAGUGCAUUGCAAUUUUGGCUUUAGCGUUUGCUUUUCACCAGCUAUGGUGGCCCUGGAAAGGGCCAUUUUGUCUAGUGCAUUGCAAUUUUGGCCUAGGCAAUGGCGCCUAGUUGCUCUUUCACGCCAUUGUUCAGAGUAAAAGGAGGGAAAAACGAUAAGAAUAACGGUUACAGGGCUCACUUUUUGAAGGAAUUAUUUCGUCGUUAUAAAGUUGCAAAUCAUUGUAUUGUGUGAAGCAUUGUCAAUAAAAAUUGUUUUUAAC
rnacentral:tRNA from 1 species